CUUCCUUAACUAAACCCGCCUCCCCAAAAAAAUUCCCCCAAACUCUAAAACAUCCGCACCCUUCCAAAUCCCUAACCCCAAUCUCUCAAAUCUCUCAUCUCAAACUCCCAAGAAUCUGCCUCCUCCUCAUCAUCAUCGUCGUCUCCAUCCCCUCAAAUCCCACAUCUCAAAUCCCUCAUCUCAAACCCCAAUCUCUCAAAUCCCUAGUGACUGUCCCCUCUGCCGCUACCUCUGGCGCCUCUGACUCCACCGUCGACGAGCCCUCCUCCUCACCCUCUGCCUCUUCCACCUACAGUGACGUCCACGUGCAUCGUGGCACCGGUGACCACUCCACCUCCUGUCAGUUGACAGUGGCUUGUUGGGGUUUUUUGUUCUACUGUCACUGUCGGGUGCACUAUUGACGACAAGGACCCUAAGGAUCUACAGAAGGAGAUCAACGAAGGUGUUGUUGAGGUCCCGCUUGAGUGAGUGGAGGGAGUUUUGUUGUUAGGGUUUCAUUGUUUGAGUGCUCAAGGUUUGUCCACAAGAGAGUCUUGCUAGGAUAUUUGUAGACUCGAGGCGUUCGAGCUUGUCCCAGGAGGACAUUCUUCGAGGAAUUUCUUCUGUUCCUUGAUUGGAUGGAUUAGGCUGCUCCUAUCUUAUUUUGGACGUUUAAGACAUUUUGGAUUUUAGAGACAAAUAUAUAAUAUUGGAUGCUUUUCAUUGUGAGAUAUUGAGUAAUCAUUGUGUAUGUAUAUAUUUUGUCUCUAAAAUUAUAUAUUGAGUAAUCA